rnacentral:rRNA from 1 species
AAUGGAGGAAACUCUGAUGCAGCGAUGCCGCGUGAGUGAAGAAGGCCCUUGGGUUGUAAAGCUCUUUCGUCGGGGAAGAAAAUGACUGUACCCGAAUAAGAAGGUCCGGCUAACUUCGUGCCAGCAGCCGCGGUAAUACGAAGGGACCUAGCGUAGUUCGGAAUUACUGGGCUUAAAGAGUUCGUAGGUGGUUGAAAAAGUUGGUGGUGAAAUCCCAGAGCUUAACUCUGGAACUGCCAUCAAAACUUUUCAGCUAGAGUAUGAUAGAGGAAAGCAGAAUUUCUAGUGUAGAGGUGAAAUUCGUAGAUAUUAGAAAGAAUACCGAUUGCGAAGGCAGCUUUCUGGAUCAUUACUGACACUGAGGAACGAAAGCAUGGGUAGCGAAGAGGAUU